GAACCUACAUGUGUAGGAUAGGUGGGAGGCUAUGAAGACGUGACGCCAGUUGCGUUGGAGUCGUCCUUGAAAUACCACCCUUGUAUGUUUGAUGUUCUAACUUAGACCCAUUAUCUGGGUUGAGGACAGUGCCUGGUGGGUAGUUUGACUGGGGCGGUCUCCUCCCAAAGAGUAACGGAGGAGCACGAAGGUGGGCUAAUCACGGUUGGACAUCGUGAGGUUAGUGCAAUGGCAUAAGCCCGCUUAACUGCGAGAAUGACGGUUCGAGCAGGUGCGAAAGCAGGUCAUAGUGAUCCGGUGGUUCUGUAUGGAAGGGCCAUCGCUCAACGGAUAAAAGGUACUCCGGGGAUAACAGGCUGAUACCGCCCAAGAGUUCAUAUCGACGGCGGUGUUUGGCACCUCGAUGUCGGCUCAUCACAUCCUGGGGCUGAAGUCGGUCCCAAGGGUAUGGCUGUUCGCCAUUUAAAGUGGUACGCGAGCUGGGUUUAGAACGUCGUGAGACAGUUCGGUCCCUAUCUGCCGUGGGCGUUGGAAGAUUGAAGGGGGCUGCUCCUAGUACGAGAGGACCGGAGUGGACGAACCUCUGGUGUUCGGGUUGUGUCGCCAGACGCAUUGCCCGGUAGCUAAGUUCGGAAUUGAUAAGCGCUGAAAGCAUCUAAGCGCGAAGCGAGCCCUGAGAUGAGUCUUCCCUGAUACUUUAAGUAUCCUAAAGGGUUGUUCGAGACUAGAACGUUGAUAGGCAGGGUGUGUAAGCGUUGUGAGGCGUUGAGCUAACCUGUACUAAUUGCCCGUGAGGCUUAACCAU
rnacentral:rRNA from 1 species